CUUUUAAAGUCACGCUUCUUGAUCAGUUUCUCCGACGACUGUGUUAUAGUUUCUCUCGCGGCUCACUUCGCGCCUCCAUCGCUGUCGUCGCUCGCUCAACUUGCUCUCACUUUCGUGCUCCGGUGACGGUGAGAUGGAAGAAACUGAUUCAAAGAUGUGGCCUGAGUUAAUAGCUAAAGCUUUCAUAGAUAUUAUGGCUAAAGUUCAAAUGAGUGAAGCACUUGCAAUAAAGGCUGAAGCAAAUAAAGGUGAGAGAAGUAAGGAGGCCACUUCUUCUUCACCAGAUUAUUCUCUUGCCAAGUGUGUGAUUGCUCUUAAUGAGAUGGCAUACCUUCAAGAAGAUGCUUAUAUGGAAGCCUUGAAAACCCUGAAGAACGACCCUGAAUGGAGAGAAAUUUUUCUUAACAUGACACUUUACAGGAAAAGGCAAUGGGUACUUCGUGUUUAUAGUGGACAGUUAUGAGUCUUUAUUUUGUUAUUGAACUUUACGAUUAUGUCACUAAACUUAUGAGUAGUUUGUGUUGGAGAUCGGAUUUAUGAGCCUUUAUUCUAUUAUGGAACUCUAUGGUUAUGUCAUUAAAUUUAUACUAUUAUAGAAUUGGCUGUACUUGAUAGUUA